GAUGAACGCUGGCGGCGUGCCUAAUACAUGCAAGUCGAGCGAACGGACGAGAAGCUUGCUUCUCUGAUGUUAGCGGCGGACGGGUGAGUAACACGUGGAUAACCUACCUAUAAGACUGGGAUAACUUCGGGAAACCGGAGCUAAUACCGGAUGAUAUUUUGAACCGCAUGGUUCAAAAGUGAAAGACGGUAUUGCUGUCACUUAUAGAUGGAUCCGCGCUGCAUUAGCUAGUUGGUAAGGUAAUGGCUUACCAAGGCAACGAUGCAUAGCCGACCUGAGAGGGUGAUCGGCCACACUGGAACUGAGACACGGUCCAGACUCCUACGGGAGGCAGCAGUAGGGAAUCUUCCGCAAUGGGCGAAAGCCUGACGGAGCAACGCCGCGUGAGUGAUGAAGGUCUUCGGAUCGUAAAACUCUGUUAUUAGGGAAGAACAUAUGUGUAAGUAACUGUGCACAUCUUGACGGUACCUAAUCAGAAAGCCACGGCUAACUACGUG
rnacentral:rRNA from 1 species